AUGGCAGUACCCCUCUUCAAUCUCGCUCCUGAUCUCAAAAUCUCCAGGCUCUGCUUAGGAACCAUGACAUUCGGAGAGCAGAACUCGCUGCCCCAGUCCCUUCAACUCCUCGAUCAAGCUUUUGAUGCCGGCAUCAACUUCUUCGAUAGCGCCGAGAUGUAUCCGGUCCCUCAAAGGAGAGAAACUCAAGGGAGGAGCGAGGAGUAUGUUGGGGGAUGGAUCAGAGAGCGGAGAGUUCCACGCGAUCGCGUUGUUUUAGCUACAAAGGUUGCUGGGCCGUCGGGUCAGAUGAUUUGGAUUCGGGGAGGGCCUAAAUCUCUUGAUAGCAAUAACAUAAUAGAAGCUGUUGAUAACAGUUUAUCAAGGAUGUGCACUGAUUACAUUGAUCUUUAUCAGAUACACUGGCCUGAUCGCUAUGUUCCCAUGUUUGGAGAAACUGAGUAUAAUCCCAGUCAGCAAUACACUUCUGUGCUUAUAGAAGAACAGCUUGAAACUCUUAAAAGAGCUAUAGGUAAUGGCAAGAUCAGAUAUAUUGGGUUAAGUAAUGAAACACCAUAUGGGGUUAUGAAGUUCCUUCAACAUGCUAAGAAUAUGCAGCUUGAAGAUAAAAUAUUAACCGUGCAGAACCCUUAUAACUUAAUGUGCCGCAAUUUUGACUCUGGAUUAGCUGAAUGUUGCCACCACGAGAGAAUAAGCCUGUUGGCAUACAGUCCAUUGGCAAUGGGUAUACUCUCUGGGAAGUAUUUAUCUGAAAAUGGGGGUCCGUCAGAUGCACGGAUGAAUCUUUUCCGAGGGAGAUAUUCUGAAGGUGAAUCCAGAUACAACCUUUCCAAUGUUACCAUAAAAGAAGCGGUAAAGGAGUAUGUCAAUAUUGCUGAGAAAUACAAUCUUUCUCCUGCAUGCCUUGCAAUUGCAUUUGUGUUGAAUCACCCCCUUAUUGCCAGUGCUGUUUUCGGGGCAACCAAACCAUGGCAGCUUGCGGAGAUCCUUGAAGCUUCUAAUGUCCAUCUCUCAGCAGAGAUUAUAUCAGAGAUCAAUGAAGUUCAUACUAGAUUUCCAAAUCCUUGCCCAUGAUUGGCAUCGUCUCAUGGAGUUUGCAGGAAUCACUGGAUUCUUAUUGCUCGUAAGCAAAGCGUGAAAGCUAAGAAAUUUGGGAUUUGAGAUCAACGAAGUCGAAGUUAAAUGGUUGUUCUUGGCUCUAUGCUUAGCUAUCGUCAUCAAGGGACUCUGUCGCCAGCUGCUAUGCUUCAUCGCCAGUUGAAUUUUCUUGAAAUUUCUGACAUCGGUCAAGUCAAUAGACAACAGAGCCAAAAUAUAUCAAUUCCACUUCAAUUGCCUCAUUGUUUUUGUUCCAAUUGGUGUAGCUUUAUAUGAAGGCAUAUUUUUUUAAUGUACAUUGGGUUGUUUGGCAUAAAAUUUUUAAAAGAUAGUUGCAGUUGCGACUACAGUUAUAAUUUUUUUUCAGAACCAAACUGCUUCCACAUGUUAACGUCUAUUGUUCUUCUGAUAGUGUGGAACAGCUGGCAGACAUUUGCACGCCCAUACCGUUGUAUUGGAAGGUAAUGAUUCAAAUUU